GUUCACAACGAUGCGUUCAAAGACAUUAUGGAAACAGACAACAAGGUUCAUGAGGUGCUUUCAGGGACAUGAUGGUAACACAAACAAGGUUUAAAUGGUGCUUUCAAUGACACAACAAAAAGGUUUAAAUGGUGCUUUCAAUGACAAAAGGACAAAUCAACAAGGUUUAAAUGGUGCUCACAGGGACACAAUGGUAAUACAAGGUUUAAAUGGUGCUUUCAAUGACAAAAGGGAAAACCAC